CGAUGGUGAUGACGAUGAUGAUGACGAUGGGCGAACGCUGUUUAGGGAUGAUGGCCACCGUGCGCACAUGCGCAUCGGCCUGUCGUGUGGCGACGAAGCUAUGGGCACACUAACAAUGCUAACAGCCGAACAGUGACUCCGACACCGACACUCCGACACCGACUGGAACGCGAUAAUUUGCCAAACGAGAACGAGAGUUUGGGUUGCGUGCGCGCGUGCACUACGCUUUGUGGCUGCAAUCCGGGGGUUAGUUCCGCUCUUAUCGUGCCCGAGUCCGGUAGCAGCAGUUCUUCGUUUCCCGUGCGUGCCACCCACCCAGCCAGCUGUUAAGUGAAGUGUGCGUGUGUCCAUGUGUGUGUGUGUAUGUGUGUCUGUGCAUCAGUAGUGGCCAAGUGAAACAGCCUAGCCUCAAAACGCCGCCUUGUUUCGUCAGAAAACUUAUUUACAGCGGGAAGGAGUGGCGACGAGAGGAAGCCCAGGCAGAAGCGGAAGCGACGUUUUCCGGAAGCGCAACAAAAAGGAUUCUCCAUUCCUGAGCGGACAGUGCCGCACCGAGGUCGAAACUUAUAUUUUCAAGACGGAAAGCGAGCACCGAGAAAGGAAAGGGGACUGUGGCAGCAAGGUAGCAAAGUGAGAUACUGCUCUGAUCUUCUGCCAGAGUUUGCCUGGAAGCAUACUUCUUCAUCUGUUUCUACCAAUCCAGCAAACCAUCGGUGAGCAUCGCAUCGGUAUGCAGCUGCAGCACAAAUCUCACAAACAACACGUUCACUAGGCAGACCUCGAAACCGGCGGACGACGCGACUGACCGCAUACCAAGUUCCAAUCAUAACCGAUAGCACGGAAGUUUAUCGUUAUCUGCUCUCGAUAGCAUCCUGCGCAAUCCCUGUAUAGCGUGUGUGAGGUGGUCCCACACAUGUUGGAGCCGAAACCGAAAAGGAAAAAAUAAUACCCACCACCGGUGUAAUAUCUUUUCGCCAGUCCCCCAGUUCGCAGAGCGCGGUAGCGCGAAAAAGGCAUUAAUCGGAUCAGAAAAGUCAAAACCACCGGUCAAAGGAUUAAGCAUUCCAGCCAUUCCACCAAAGGGGGGGCCAAACUCGUAGCCGCUGUCCUCUGCGAAUGAGCAUCGCGGUGAAUGCGGUCGAAGUUCGAUCGAACUUUAUCUCCGAAGUCUCCAUGUGGUCGUGCAACCAAUCCUCCCAGCCAACAAGUAUGCUAAUGGUGAAUUGAGUGUCGAGGCUGAGCACGACCAAGACGACCAAAAAGCCAUCGUACGUCACACAGCCCGGUUAAGCGUCUUGUCUCCCCGCCCCGGAAGGAGAGGAAAAACGAGAUUCUCCGGAUUAUACUAUAGCCGGAACGGCGGUGAAAAGCUCGUACGGCAGGUUCCAGCAGCGCAGUUUCCACAGCACGCCACACCACGACACACGUUCGAUGCUGGGGGAGUUUCACCGGAUAUUUGAGAAGACUGCCAUCAACGAUGACACAGUGAACUCCUUUCUGCGCCUGGUUGGAAUGCAGCUAAACGGUACGGCCGGAACCGUCACCAUGGCCGCCGCCUCGGAACCACCCGAGCCACCACCAAGGAAUCCCGACAAAAUCAACGCUUCACUCAAACAGCUCGCCGAAUCGAAAACACGCUCGCUGGAUACGGCCGCCAACGAUAAGGCCGCGGGUGCAUCGAAUGCCGGCACCGGUAGUGCAAGCAAUGGUGGCCGUCCAUUCCGGCCACUGCUAUCGCUCGAUAGCAACGCCAAACCAACCAAACCAUUCGAUGCGACUGACCGUGGCACACCGACAUCGGCUCCUGCCACCGGUUUCGGUGGAUCGGAGGCUGCCACACCGGCCGAUCUAACGCCGGCCGGACAACGACAAUCGAAUCAACCACCACACUCAUCCACCUCGUCCUCCUCAUCAUCCGGAGAGACCGGGCAAAUGGGUGCGAAUGGAAUGGUGGGCCUGGGCGAGGUGGGCACUAGUCCACCCAAACCAUCGACAUCGAGCAGCAGUAGCUCCCAGGGAUUGGCUAACCUGGACAAGGCGAACCCAACAUCCGGGCAACAGGCAGCGAGACAGAUCAGUCCAACCGGAAACACCGCCAUCGGUGCCAGUGACGGUGAUAAUCUCUUCAAGAACGGUGUCACCGAUCUCGAAUCACCACAAACGACCAAAAUACGGCUGGAAAACGAACGUUUAUCGGCGGAGAUUACGCGACUGAAAAAGCUGCUCGAAAACUCGCCCGAUGGUGCCGUCGGUGGGAUCGAGAUGUUCUCCGACAACAACAGCUUCGAUGCACACUCGACGGAUGAUAGCAGCAGCCGGGUGGAGAAGCUGGAGAACGAACUGCGGAUAUCGAAGGAGCUGAUCCAGAGUAAGUGCAGAGCCUCAUUUCUAGUCCGCUUUCCAGUCGCGCCAUCACCAUCAUCUUUCACGUUAUGCGCAGGUCUUAAGCUCGAACGGAAGAAGCUACGGGCGGACAAGAACGAUCUGCUGUCCCAGGUGAAGCAGCUCUGUUCGUCGCUACAGGAGAAGGAAGCCGAACUGCGCAACUUUAUCCGCAACUACGAGCAACGGAUACGGGAAUCGGAGUCUAACUCGGCCAAACAGAGCACGGACCGGGAACGGGAACGAUGGUCACUGUUGAAGCACGCCCGGGAUGAAGCGGAACGUUCGAUUGCUCUGGCCGCGCAGCUUAAUGCCCGCGAUCUGCAGCUUCAGCGGACACAGGAGCAACUCCAGGAAGCACGCCGGCAACUGUCCGGCUGUCUGUCGGAUCAGGAGAGUCUAGUAUCGGCCACCGCACCACUGACACCACCGUCGGGACUGAUGGUUCACAAUCCGGUCUCCGGUGGCUCCGGCGGUGGUGUGUCCGGUGGUGGAGUUGGCAGUGGUGGAUACGGUAACAUCAGUGGAACUCCCGGUGAUCGUGGUUCGUGCAGUGCCGAUUCAGGUGUACGAGACUUUAUUGCAGGGAGUAGCGACCGGGAGAGUGCGGCCGGUGAUCUGAAUCUCAGCGAUGGUCCGUGUGAGAACGGACCGUGUAUACAGGUGGACUCGGACAGUGUCUCGCUGGUUUCCAGUCACCACAAUGUCUAUCAGUAUGGUACACCAAAGGAGCGAAGUCCCACGUUGUCACCCCUGAAUGCGGGCGCCUACUCGCGAUCCGUAGAUAGUGCAGCACUUUCCAGCUCCUACCGAUCGGUCGAGCAGCUGGGAUCACCGGUGGAUAACGAAAAUCAAACGUUCGCCCGAAGGCUACAGCAACAGCAUUCCGCCUCGGGACCCUCUACUGCGUCGGUUUCCUCCGCUAAAGCGCAAGCUUCGGGGCUAACGGGCCGGACCGGACGUGGUGGUACCUGGGGUAGUAUAUCCCGAGUGUUCGCCCGUAGCCGUAACCGUAGCAAGAACGCUCCGAUCGAUACGGAAGCCUCGGACUUCCAGUGGAGCCCACUGACCGAGGAGGGUUACGCCGAGAAGCUGCGGCUACUGCGCGAAGCUUCGUCGAUGCCGAUGGAACGUUGGCGAGCGUCACAGGUGCUGGCGUGGCUGGAGGUGGCCCUCGGUAUGCCCCAGUAUAGUGGGCGCUGUGCCGAGAACGUCAAGAGUGGUAAGGUGCUGCUGGAACUCAGCGAUGCCGAGCUGGAAACCGGGCUCGGUACCUCACACCCGAUGCACCGGAAAAAGCUUCGGUUGGCCAUCGAAGAGCAAAGACGGCCGGAACUGGUGCGCUAUCCCACCAUCGGACAACUGGGACACACUUGGGUCGCGUCGGAAUGGCUACCGGACAUUGGGUUGCCACAGUAUUCGGAAUCGUUCAUGCACUCGCUCGUGGACGCUCGGAUGUUGGAUACACUGUCCAAGAAGGAGCUGGAGAAGUACCUGGGAGUUACCAGGAAGUUCCAUCAGGCUAGCAUAGUCCAUGGUAUACACGUACUGCGCAUCAUGAAGUACGACCGUCAGGCGAUCGCCAUGAGAAGGCUACAGUCGGAGAACGUAGACACGGAUCCGAUCGUAUGGACCAACCAACGAUUCAUCCGCUGGGCAAGGUCAAUCGACCUCGGCGAGUAUGCGGAAAACUUGAAAGAUAGUGGCGUACACGGUGGACUAGUCGUUCUGGAACCGUCCUUCUCUGGCGAUACCAUGGCGACGGCGCUCGGUAUUCCACCAUCGAAGAAUAUCAUCCGGCGCCAUCUGGUGACCGAGUUUGACGCACUCAUUCUACCGGCAAGAGCGACCCUUGGCCAGGGCAUACGGACCGGCGGUGGCACGGUAAUACCGAUUUCGAGCGGUAUCGGGAUGAUGACGCCCGGGGCUUCCGCAUCAGGUGUUGAUCGGCGCAAUACGGGCAGCUUGCGCGACCGGUUGCGUACGGUGAAAGCGGAUGACAGCUACGGUCUGCUGGAGUGCUGCGAUGAAGAAGAGGAGGACGAGGAGGAAUAGGAGCAAAGAAGGCCUGCGCGCGAAUCAAACAUUCUUUGCUAUGAAAUAGCAUCUUCGCUUGCUUAUGAUUACAGAUAAGAGAUAAGUUUAAUGUUACUCGCACACUACUCGCCCGGCUGCUCGUUGAUCCGUCGAUCUUAGUAUCCGAGCAACGGUUACGGUUCGACCGAUUCCACGAUGUCGAAUUCCCCAAUAAGUGCGCGAGAGCACUGGAGCAUCCAGCAAACUCGGUGACACGUAUUGUAAUCGAUCCGGAACGAUACUGGGAAGGUCCUCUCUCUCGCAGUCCUCAUGUUAUGCCUACCAUGAUCGUCGUCGCCUACUACGCCACCGUCUUGUCGUUCUUCUGGCACGUUUCUUGAAAUGCUAGACACCGUCGCCUGUACGUGUGCGCUUCCGUGUGUGUGUGCGUGUAUGUCCCCGGACACGGUUUGACAUUCCGUCAGAUAAGCAUCCGGUGCUGGUGGUCGGUAGUGUGAGCAUUGCGAUAUGUACGUAUGGUACGUUGACUCUGGUCUUGGGCUCUGUUAAGGUGGUUCACCGUGACCCGAAUGCGGUACUAGCGCAGAUGCACAAGGGCCGAGCCCGAACCACGAUUAUCUUGGCUUCGCUUACGUCAGUCCCUGUGGCGAAGUUGAGGUGGGUCACUAGCUCAUGCCACAGCCUUUUUCAACAAUCUAUUUAUCCUUCUCCUGCCUACCCAUUCCGAGUGUUCCGGGUGUUCCGGGUGAGAAGACGCCAAAGACACCUGACGCUGGUGCGCCUGGUUGCUCCCUUUUGCCUGCCUUCGCUCGUGAAAUCGCUCGAGUGUGUGUGUUUUGAGGCUUGGUUUCCAGUUUUUUUCCCCUUUUUUCGUAUUUUUGUCACAAACAGCGAGCGCCUCACAAAUGAAUGUUCCAUCCAUCCAUCCAUCCAGCCCAAACCAAACCAUCCGUUAGCCAUGGUGCGCAUACCGAAGGAGAUAAGUCGCGCGAAGUGAAGUGUUCCAUACGCGCCUGCCACAUCGCUUCCGGUUGUUGGCCGGAAACAGGUGCUCCAGUUUCGCGACGUCAGUUUGUGGCUGGCACCAUUUGUAUUUAUGUGACUUCUUGUUUGCUUUGACGGGCUAUGUAAAUUUUAGAUGAACCACCGCCUACUACUAGCUCCUCCACAACACCCCGUACAACACACACGUGCACAUGCAUAUGACGGUCCCUGGUCUGUAUGCCCUGGAAAGGAAAAUUCCAAAUCCUCCUUCCUUCUCGUUCCUUGGUACCCAACCACCGACCCUCCGCCACCCACUAAACACCCCAAACCAAACAUUGAGCCAAGGGCUCCGUGGCUGGCUGGUUGGUUUCGCGAUGUGCUGCUCCGCGGGGUAGGAUUUUAUGUUAAUUUUUACAAACAUGGCCUUAUCCUUGCUCGAAGCGGUUAGUAGGCUUUGCUGGUUGGAAGCCUCCGAAUCUGCCUCCAACACCUUGACAACAGCAGAAAACAGCAGCGUGUCUGAAAAGCGUGUGUGUCGUGUUGUGACAUCCAAACAACUCUUCUUACUACAAAGGUAAGCUUUAUACGAGAUGAGCUAUGAGAUGGAAAGGUUGUCAAAAACUGUUCAAUCAUUUCAAAGACCUAUCGUAAAGCCACAGCACGGCAAUGCCGUGAUUGGGCUGCCAGUCCGUACUGACCCCAGUUCGGUACAGUCAUUAACCUCUACAGUUCAAGCAGGAAUUACCUUGGCAACCAUUUUGAGCGUCAAUCACCAUACCGAAGUCGAGCACAAGCCCUCCGGUGCAUCAUAACGAUGUUAAAUGGUUUCGAUCAAUCUUAGGGCACAAUUCAAUGGAGAGAGAGAGAGAGAGAGAGAGAGGAGAGGCCAGUUGCCAGUGCAGCAGUCCAAAACGAGGAACUGACGAGGACGAGGUUCAAUCUCGCUCUCGCUCCCUGUCACUGACAGGUCACCACAGGAUAUCGAUUGAAAUGGAAAUGGCGUCCAGUUCGUUGGGUGCGAGUUGUUGUAAAACUAAGAGAGAGAGACAGCGAGAGAGAGGAAGUGAGUGCAUCGGAGCAGAUGCACAACCGGAGAUGCAUCGAGGGGGACCUGUAUGUUGUGGCCUGCCAUUGAGACGAGUGUGCGUCAAUGCAAACCGUCCCGCUGUACGUUUGCCAGGGAUGAAAUUCAGUAUUGAAGUUGUUGGUGCACAAUUCUCUCCCUCUCUCUCUCUCUCUCUACGUCUCUCUUGGGGCCGUCAAUAACAGGAGACCAUUGGAGGGUGGUGCAAGCGGACAAGAUGGCGGUUUUGCAAUAUUAAUUGCCUCGAGCGGCCGUCGUUUCCUGUUGCCUUGCACAGUAUUUGGUGGAGCAGCAGCCAUAUUGUAGGAAUAGUUUCUCGCUGCAUUUGAAGUUUCCAACUGGGAGCGAGUGAACCGAGAACCGAACCCGAGCCGUGGGCGGCUUAAAGAGGGAUUACGCUUUAAGCUGCUUUAAACAUUCCCAUUCCCGGGAAUGGGGGUCGGGAUGUUUGGCGUUGCCGGACUUGGUAGAUUGACCGCGAAUGCGAAGUGAACCGAUGAAUCCCUUUUUUUAUAUUCCCCUCUCGGAAAUCGGAGCACUACCAACAGUGAAGGUGAAGAGGGCUGCUACCAGCAGCAUUUUUCGCAUCGACGCUAAUUGCGUUUGCAUCGAUCGGAUCCGUCGUCGAAUGCGUCGGUCGAUGGCCCAACAUCAAACGAGCGAUGGCGUCCCAAAAAGGGGCCAAAAGAGUGCCAAAAGCCAUAUCGUGGGCUCCGGGGAACUGCCACGAUGGCUGGAAGGAAGUUUAUAAAAUAAAGUUCCAAAUAAAGAGACUCCCUCCGAUUCCUCGAACGACGAUAACGACAACACCAUGCGCGAACGCUCAAAACGACAUCGCAAGACGCUGGUAAAUCUUGUCAACCUUUGCUGCUGAUGUUACCUCUCUUCCUUGAACCUUGUUGUGGGAUACGGAAGCUGAAGGAGUGAGGAAGAGACGGGUCACAAGACACGGUAAAACAAUUUCCCGAUUACGGUGACGAUGAAACUUUGGCUGGCUGGUUGUUCUUCCCUCUCUUCCAGCGGUGGCCCCGCGGGUGCUUAGAGUUCGUUGUGUUGUUCGUGACUCUUUCACAAUCCACGAGCCACGAGCCAGCGAGUUAGCGAUCGAUCGAUCGAACACGAUAACGACCAAAGGCCGACGAGCGGCGAAAAAGGGGUGUGGGGUGUGGGAAAUUCGAAUUCCAUCGAGCUGAACGCUGUUCGCUUCGACGCUAUCCUUUCAUCCUUUUCUUUGGCGACGUCUCGGUGUUCUCUUCUCGUACCGAGAUGCGUCAAUCUAAAGCGCGUAGACAAUCCGAGUUGGGGGUCGCAAAGAAUGACGACGCUGCCGACGAUGACGAUUAAGAAAACGGGCGAAACCACAAACCACUGACUGCGUAGGUUGGUUAAUCCGAUUGGCAAUUUCGUUAGUCUUCCUCUCCGUUUUUUUUUUCUGCGUCCACAACCACUACCGGUACCACGAAAUGGGAAACGAUUUGUCGGGAGUUAUGCACGUCAUCAGCGCGGCGGUCAAUCGUUUUUAUUAUGGUGCUGCAAGCAUUGAAGCGGCUUAUCGCAUAGCAUGUAAUAAGCUUUUAAGCUUUAGCACCAAUGCUACGAAUGCCAAGAGUUAUAAUCAGAUGAAAAGGCAAUUCCCGAACUUUAUAUUUCUCAAUUGAGUUGUUUAAUAAUGUUUCCCUUUUUCCGAUGGUUUGGUAAAAAAAUUGCAAUAAAUUGAAAACAUUUUUUAUGGAACAAGCACCGUACAAAGGGUAUCAAACGGUGCAGGAGGGAACAUUUUUGCCGAAAAAUAAAACCUCUCGCUGGCAAAACGGUCAACCCAUCGGUGUGGGGGCCUGUGAAGCUUUUUGAGUAACCAAGUUAUGACCGCGAAAACUUUUCCAAUUAAGCGGUUUCCGCACAUGAGUCCCGCACCACCAUCACCAUCACCACACAUGCCAGUCCGUCAGUGCAGUGCAUGAUAUUAGUUCUGGGCUCUAAUAUAGCACUCGGACGCAAUCAUUUCUCGUCCAUGUUUGCAUGUUAUCUGACCGGUACCGUCGUCUGGUUGCUUCAAACUUCCUUCACGAAAGCUAGACUCCCGGGAGCACGCGAGUGUUGUUUGUGGUAACUCCGUAGUAGUAGCUUCGCAUGAGAAGAGUACGGAAGGGUGAUAUCGUUGCUGAAUACUACUGUUAAACAUAUUGUAUAAUGUUUGAGUAUAGUAGAGGCUAAUUGCUGUAGUGUGAUAACUGUUGUAGGAAAAGUCAGACGUAAUACAAAAAUCUAUUGAAUUGUGUUUUUGGCAAGGGUAUUCCUUAUUUUUAUGAAAAUUUCGAAUUUCUUCGCGAUACGUUUCUUGAACUGAUUCAUUAGAAUAAUGAAUUAGAGCUUUACCAUUAGUUGAAGGUCACUCGAGGAAAAUUUCUGUCCAGUGCUCUGAUAUGAUUGGCACGUUCCUCAUACUGGUCACUCGAUAAAAUCCGAUUCAAACGGUCUAAGAACGUCAUUGACACUUCUCGGCAGAAGUCGAAAUGUCGAUUAAAGAAAAGUAGUAGAAGCAGAACUCAGGAAUACUGUGGUCUGCCCAUUUCGACAUUUCGAGCAUCUCUGGAAAAACAAUCUUCAUCAAAAAAACAAAACUACUUAAUACAUUUGAUGAAAAAAAGCAAAAACUCAUAAUCAACUCCAUAUAAUGUUUUUUAUUCAAUGUAGCUUAAUCGCAAUUACCAAAAUACAAAAUCAAAACAACAUAGAAUUAUUGUACAGAGUACCUCAUAAGUUUUUGAUCCUGGUAUGGAAUCUAUUUUAUUUAAACUUGCGAGCUACCACUCCAAUUACUGAACCAUUAUUGCAUACAAAAAAGGCUCUAACAUAACUGUAACAUUUAUUAACAUUUGUAAAUGGGUUAAAAAAACUAUCAAACUUGUUUUUUACACUGCAACUAUAAAUGAAAGCUACAUCCCUGUUUCGAGACACUUUUUUUUAGAUGAUCUGUCUUAUCAGCUAUUUAUAAGCGAAUAAUAAAAAUUCCCCAAGAACAUAGAGCACAUUCAUGAGAAUGAUUUCUCAUUAUGACGAAGGAAACAUUAUAAUUCCCUAGUCUGUAUGAUGCGCUCAUUGCCUAUUCAUUAGGGAUUAAAGCAUCAUGGCAUAUUGUCUCCCCUCGAAUGGUGGAAUCGAACUACAAUCCCUUUUGCUGCAAGAACAGUAACGCGUUACUUAAGCAGCACUGAAAGCACUGAUCUGUCUCUAUUCCGUCGAUCUAGGUCAAGUAUUCUUCGGGGUCCUUUACGCAUUCCACAGUCUGUACAGCAGUGCGCAGUGGUGAUGAAUCAUAUUCCUGCUUAUUGCAACACUGUUAAACCCAGCAUCAUUUCUGGUUCUGCUUCGGUUCGCUCCAGUCCAGGAUGCAUAAAAGGAGAAUCAAACAUGCACACUGUGGCACCGAACGAUGCAACGGAGUGGUCUUCUGGUCUGGUGGCACUAGUAACGGGUUAGAUGAAGCAAAAGACCCCUUCUCAUCCUUACCGACCAGAAUAAAUAGUCAUCACUGGCCGGAAAUUACCUUCUCCAAUGUGCAGCACACCGAACCGGACAGUGUAUUCCCAUCUGGUCCCUGGUAUCAUCGUCCCACCAUCCGUCUCAUUCGCUUUUUGAUGUGACCCCGGACUCAUUUGCAACUCCUUCUGCUUCAUCGAGCUACCGAGAGGUCACUUUGUCCGGCGGCAAAUUAUUGAUGCCGGUUGUAGCAUAACUUUGAAUUCGAGAACUUAUAAGCUUCUAACCAUUAGGUGAGCGAGGAUAGCAUGCCAAUCCGUGUGCUGGGGCACAAUGCGCUGGCCGUGCUGAGUCAAUAUUUGAUUUAAAUUCAUUCAAACUUUCUGCUCGUAACGCGCUGUAUCGCUUGAUGGUGCCGGCCAUUUAGCAUGAAUGCGCGCGUAUUCAAUGAAAGCGUUGAAGCGAUGAAAGCUGACUCCAAAAUUAAAUCCCUCGCUACAUCCUCGCGCGCUCCUCCGCGGUCUGCGAGCUUUUCCGACCAGCAUAUACCAGCCCAGGAAGGGCACCACCGAACCUGCCUGUACGUGCGCCGUGCUCGAUACCAGAUCAAAGGUGAACGAAUCAAUCAUCCUCAAAUCAAAUCAAAUAUGCAAAAUUGACUUGUGCAAAGGCAACGUCCAUAUAGCACGAGACGAGGGAAGGGAAAAGGCGCCGGGAAUAUUCUCCGCAACUCAAUCUCUUGCCAUUGGACUUACCUUUACCUGGUUGAUCGGUAUCAUUCUCAAUAGCAAUUUACAUGUGAUUAAUGACCAUAUACGGGAGGGGAAUCGGAAGGAAAGGGAACGGUGUUCAUUUCAUUAGCAGCAUUGCAAACGUUUCCGUCGAGCACCUGCGUCUUUGUGCUACACUUACGAUGAUUGGAGUGAAGUGGUUCCGGACAAACUGGCUCAAGAUGGAUAGUUUCUAAUUGAACGUCAAACGAUUCUUCCCUCUUCUCUCAUCCUGACGCGUUAAAUCGAUCUGCCUUCGGCCUGUCACUUGUAAGUGUAUGAUGCACGCAAUGAACGAUGCAAACUUUCUUCCUCAGGACACUCUUCGUCCCGGUUCGAAGUGGUUUAAUAGCUUCCAGCUACUACUACUACUACCACUAGCCGGCAUGAAAUGCAGAGCAAAAUUAAAUUGAACGCCACUCGUUCAUAUCUACUGCUAUUAAACGACGUCUCGCUAACGACCCAUCCGUUUAAUGUGUCCUUAUCAUCCGGCUCCGGAGCCAUCCGGUGAUAGUACCACCCCGCCGGGUGGUAAACGGAAACCUCUUUGCCUCGAAGCACUACUUCGAGGCUGCACGUGGCAUUUAAAUUGUGAAGCAGCGUGCCCACUAUGUAUUUCGUGCCACCACCAUCAUCAGCUUCGUGCUCUAUCCUUGAAUCCUAUCCUGCCCCUUCCCCCGUGGAAACCACCCCCGGAAACAACAACAGCAACAGAGGAGUGAACCGCCGUGAAGUAGCGUCUGAUAAACCAACGAACGGGAACCUUUGCACCGCUGCUUGUUGCAGCGAGAAAGCGGCCAUCGGAUACCGAAAAUGCUCACACAGCAAACAAUUGAAAAACGUGAUUUUGUCCUUGUGGCGCUUCUUAAGGACCCCUUCGCCCUCCCUCCACCCCUCGACCUGCAUUAACGAUGCCCCGAAUUCACUCAACACACAGCGAAUGGUACAACGCGAAGCGAAGCGUAGCAUCGCCCCUAGGCGCACCAUUCUGCAGCCACCCUAAUUCCUUGCCGGAAGGAGAUUCUUGUUUUAUUUUGUGAGCUUACUUCAUUAUCACUGCCGUCGUUUUUGGGGGAAGAGGGGACAGUAAGUUUCCUGUCAGCUCCGUUAAAAAAAAACAUUUAUUUCUAUUUGUUUGUUGCUCGGAUUGAUGGUCUGUUUGCGUAGCCGAAAAAGCGUUUUUCAUUUUCUUUCCAUCACAAUGCAACCGGAACAAUGUACCAGCAUUGCAUUUGUUUAUCGCAAAAAAGGGACAUCAAACAUUCGUCUAAAAAUGAUGGAUGGAUAGGUUAACGCAAAUGUAGGUAAUAAUAAUAAAAAAAAUAACAGAAAUCAUUGGACUAUGGGGGCAUCCGCGUAUUUAAACAGGUGAUGGAGAUACUAAAAAAAGCGAGCAACUCACUCCAGUUAUCUCUCCGUACUAGCUUACUCAAUCAAUCGAUCGUUACUUUUAAAUUAAAUGCAAAAGCAAAGGGAGCUGCUACUUAAAACGACACCGUCGCCGAUCUCAUGUAUAGCACAAUUCGCACGCAACAGAAUAUAGCCAAGUGAAAUGCUCCGUGAACCGCGAAACCGCGGGGCUUAGCGCAGGAAUUAGCCAAAAUGCAAAGAUAUUGAUUGGUGAUUGGUAAUAAGAUAGAUUUAAACUACGCGUGACCCGUCGAUCGGUACGAUCGCGCUCCUAGACCCAAGCUUUGGUAGCGAAAUGCAAACAAUGCAUCAUUCCACAUAUUUAAAGGGAGAGAGAUAAAGAGAGCGAGAGAGAGAGCGAGCAAGAGAGAAAGGGCACUAUCUAUGAAUAUAUUUUUUCGGUAAAUUCUUUUUUGUACAGUACGAUCAACUCGUAAGAAGGCGGCACAGAAAAACGGCAUCAACCGUAACGCAUGAUAAGAGUACUGCCCAUUGCCCCGCGGACAGUAGCUCGCCAAAUGUGUGUAUCUAUCUGUAUGUCUGUCGUGGGGAUGUGGAUGCAAACGUAAAGGAUCGUAUUCGGAUCGAAAAUAUGAUUGAUGUGAUUGGGUGGAGGAUUUUUCGGGAUAAAGAAAAACAAUCGAAUCAAAGGUAAGGAUGCGAAGCAAACCCGAUCUUGUACGAUAUCCCUUAAAACACACACACUCACACAAAAGAGAGAGAGAGAAAGAGGGAGGCAUCCAUGAUAUGAUAAGGCAGACAGACGUCGACGUGCUCAAAGCAUAAAUAAAACUCUAUUAAUCAUCGAACAAAACAGAAAAGGGAAAUCACAUCAAAAUGUGUUGUGCAGUGAAAGGAUCCUCUUCACUUCAAUCCAAAUUCAGCACCUUCCAGCAUUAUGUUCCCAUUUUCCAUUUAAUUUUAUAGCCAAGUGACCAAGGGGUCAACUGCAUAACGCUGCUCGUAAGUAAAGGUAGAAGCCGUAGGGGCUGGGAUACAAAUGGCUCCACGGGUAAGAUCGACUUUCGUCUUAACAUCCGGAUCCGGUAUCUAAUAUCUCACGUGUUGCUGCUUGUCAACUAUUUUGCAUGCCUUGGUUUGCCUCGAUUAAUGCUCGACUUUUUGUUCUUUCAAUCCAUUAGCAUAAUCCUUACUGCCAACUGUUAUAUGCAUCUCUCAUCAGUCACUCUCCAGAACUAAUCUGUUUUCCAUUCCCAACCCAUCAUGGUAUGCGUGCGUGCGUUUGUGUCCUUUCUACUUUCCAUCUCACGGAUUUGCUGACAUCUUGGGCUACCCACAUCCUGCCACAUCCUGCAUGAUUGUUCGCCUUGACCGUCUCGCCGACGGCUGUUGCAGUUUGCAGCCUGGAAAGGAUCACAGGGUUCACUAACCAAGGCAUUCCGGAUGAGCUCCGGGUAUAAACCGCGCAGCAGCAAUGGCACAGGAGGUGGCGGUGGCAGUGGCCCUGGAUCUGAUAAGAACAGCGUGUACAGCUCGACCUCACCG